rnacentral:tRNA from 1 species
GCCGAUGUGGUGGAAUUGGUAGACACGCUGUCUUGAGGGGGCAGUGGCGAGAGCCGUGCCGGUUCGACUCCGGCCAUCGGCACCA